UUAAUUAAACAAUUAUUAAUUGUUUGCUUAAUCAAUAUAUUAUUCAUACAAAGAUUAACUACGUACUACUUAUUUUUGAAAAACAAUAACCAAAUUAGUGUAAUGCAUGUUUAAUGUUUAUCUUAAUGUAUGUUUAAUGUUAACUUACAAAAAGCCUAUUAAAUGAAAAUACAGAAGCCACAUCUUCCUUGAAUAAUGUGUUUUAAAUACUUACAGCUACCUGGGACUGAAUAAGAAUUUUGGACAAAUUUCUGAAGAGGCAUUUAUUCAGGUUCUGGAUUGUGCAAUGGCCUCCCAGCUCCAGGAAUUCUUCAACAAACCAGAGUAUCUAAAUACAUUUCAAUCUAGUGUCAAGCCUGGUUUUGAGACAAAGACGGUAAUGAUCACCUCAGUGAAGAACCUAUAUUGGGAAUUGAACAGAUGACUGUUGACUCUUCUUGGCUUCUUGGCAGAUUUUGACACCACUGCCAAUUUAUCUUUCUAGUCAUCCUCUCUGUGAUGUGACAAAUGUGAUCUUGAUCACUCAAAAGGUAGAUCAGGGAACAGGGAUUUCAGAAGGUGCUGCAUGGGGCUCCAAGAUUAUCUGGAGGGGAUGUGCAACAGACCAAUAUAUAUCUGUUGCCCUUUUGGAUGUUUUAAAUAGUUUUAUUUCUAUAGAUAAUUUAAUUGCUGUAAAGAUGUCAGAAAGGGGGAGAAAUCUUUUUUAAAAUCCCACCUCUGCCACCAAUUGUGAAGAUGUGGAGAUGGAGGUUGUUUUUAUUAAUUAAUUAUUAUAUAUUUUAUAUCCGCUGCCACCAGUUAUUAAAGAUGUUUUUAUUUAAAAGCUGCCACCAAAUGUCAAUGUCUCCACAAUGCUGCCACCAAAUGAUCAAUGGGAUCAUCAACUCUUGCCACCACUAUAGGGAUACGUAGCCAUUAGCUACUUAGAGAGGAGACUUUUAAAUUUUAUUUGUCUUCUUUCUUGUUUAUUCUUAAUGUGUAUAUAUGACAGAGACUGAGGUGUUUGAGAGAACAAUAACACGUUUAUUGAGGCACAAGCUUAAUAGGUACAAUUCUCACUUAGAGGCACUUUGAUUGACAGUUGCAAAGCUAGAAUGAGGUGAUUCAAACUUCCUAAAAUGUCACUUCUUUCUCCACUGUUUUAACCUGCAGUCACCCUGUGAAUUUCAGUCACAGACUAUCUGUUCCUUAUCUGGAAACAGACAACCUUAAAAUAAGCCACCAAACUUAUUUUAAACUGACUCAAAUAAGCACUUGAGCCUCCCUGAUUCUCCAACUGAGAAUCAGUCUUCACUGUAAUUCAUCCGAUUACAGACUACCUUAAAAUAAGUCACCAAACGUAUUUUUAAAUUGACUCAAAAUGACCAAUUGAUUAUCUCUGAUCCCCUAACUUAGGAUCAGCCUUCCCUGAAUUUCAACAGAGCCCAGACUCUAAAAUCAACCUUCCCUGUGGUUCUCUGACCACAGACUGAGUUUCCCUCCAAAUUCUGCUCUCUCUUCAGCUAAACGCAGUUGGCUCCACCCCCUUCUCCAUGGCAACCAACUCAUGGUGCAGAGUAACUGAAAUAUUAACCCUUUUUAAAACACAGUUAAACAUGGCAUCUGUAAAUAAAAAAAAUCACACUUUGUUACAAUUGCAUUUUAAGGAAGUUUCUUGUAUAUGCCUUUAAUAAUAAUAAUAAUAAUAAUAAUAAUAAUAAUAAUUUUAUUUCUUACCCACCUCUUCUCGAGGUGAGUAACAACAUAGCUAAAAACAUAUAAUCAUUGCAUAAAAUACACAUAUUAAAACAUAUUUCUACAAUAUACAUAUAUUAAAAUGCACAGAACAAUGAUCAAAAUAUAGUGGACACAAAACAUGAGUUUAAAAUUCAUGAUUAAAACCUGCCGGAAGAGAUGUGUCUUCAAUUGUGUCUUAAAUUCCGACAGCUCUUCCGGCAGGUUGUUCCACAGUCUUGGGGCAGCCAAUGAAAAGGUCCUCUGGGUGACAGUUGCCAGUCGGGUACUGGCAGGUUGGAGUAAGCAACCCCUCUCCCCAGAGGAUAGUGUUCAGGGCAGAUUGUAUGGGAAAAGAUAAUCCAGUAGGUAACCUGGACCCAAACCAUGUAGGGCUUUAAAGGUCAAAACCAACACUUUUUACUUUGCCCAGAAACUAAUCGGCAGCCAGUGGAGUGACUUUAGGAUAGGUGUAAUACGCUCACUCCUGGAUGUUCCUGUAACUAAUCUGGCUGUCCUAUUUUGAACCAACUGUGGUUUCUGAACUGCCUUUAUGCCUUCAUCUAUAUCUGUUUUAGGUUUUGUAAACCACAAAGGAAAGAUAUGAAUAAAACAACAGUAUCAAUUAUUUGUUUAUAUACUAAAUGUGGCUCUUACCUCGUAAAGCAAAAGGUGAUCAUGAAAUAAUUGCAUGGAAUUAUUUCCAUAAUUGACAGAACAAAUUCUUAACCUUUACUCGUAUUAUUUUUGUAUGUUACCUUAAAAUGUUUCAGUUACUGAAUUACACACAAUAAUAGAAAGAACCAUCCAAAACUGAACCAGUAAAAAGAUUUUUAUUCUUUUGCGACACUAAUGACAAUGUGUUAAAUCUAGGACGUGAUAUGCCUUGUGUUUUAUGAAUUGGAUCUAGGGAGUGAACUGCUUUACAUGAUUAGAGGAAUGGUACUGAACUCAAUGAGUAAUAGAUCCCAGCAGAUCUGUUUCUACACCCUUGGUUCAGAAAUGAUGCUAUAAAUAGGGAGUAGUCUGUUCCUAGGGAUAUGACAUAUUAACCAUGAUUUAUUCCAAAGAAGAUGUCGUUAGUUAAUUAUCUUUAGAGUAGAUAUUCUAGGAGAUUUCUGUUCAUCUCUGGAAAUACAACAAAGAAGUUAAACAAAGAAUUCUAGGGUUGGGAUUGAACUGUAUAAGAACGAAAAGCAACAUCACAAUAUGUGAUCAGUAAGAGACAAGCUCCAAGCCCAUCCAACUAAUAAUGUUUAGAAAGUAUAGAUCACAUUUCUUAUUAAAUUGGCUUAGUGUACUUUAGGAAUUCUAAAUCUAUAUAGAAAUAAUGGGUGUAAUUUUAAGCUAUUUCAGUUUCAAAAACAGCUAACUGUGUACUUUUCAAUUAUUUUGUUAUUAAAUAUAAUCAUCUAUCUUUUAAAGAACAGUUUCUAGGUCAAUACUGAGAGGUCCAGUCCCGAAUACUUUGAUUCUUAAUCAUACUUCACGUACACACACGUGUGCGCAUGCGUAAGAAAUGUUAUAUUUAUUUUUAAACUAUAUUAUUAAAAUUAAAAUGUCCAUUUAAAAAGGCAAAUAUUUGUGUACUGAAACUCUGAACUAUUUCACUGAAUUGUUUUAUAGAAGUAUCGUGUCAUAUACCAUAAACUCCAUACUGCACAAAAGCUGAAGAAAAUAAAUACCAUGAUACAACAA